rnacentral:rRNA from 1 species
GUCUACGGCCAUGCCACCCUGAACAAGCCCAAUCCCAUCUGAUCUUGGAAGCUAAGCAGGGUCAGGCCUGGUUAGUACUUGGAUGGGAGACCACCUAGGAAGACCAGGUGCUGUAGGCA